GGGCGAAUGACCUUCCAUAUAACAAAGCGCAACAUGCCACCAAUUGUGUGUAUACAUAAAAGAUGACAAAGAACUCCAGGUUCUUGAGCACUCCUCCAUAAAUUGUACUGCUUCUUUAAAACGACACUCAUACUGAUAAACAUGACAGAGAGCAUGGUGUGUCCAGGCAUCUUCACUAUCAAUCUCAAAGCCUUUCUUUGCAGCUUCUUUUGCCUCCGCAUAUCGACCAAGCUCCAAUAGGGCAAAUGCGAGCAUGCCAUAAAUGUAUCUUCCAUGUUUAUUUACUGGUAGGACCUGUUCAACAAGUUUCAGAGACAAAUCAGGGCGACCCAUGUAGAAAGAGAGCACUUGAGCGCGCUUUACCGUGACCAGAUCUCUUGGGAAAUCCUUAAGCAGCUUUAAGUGUAGUUCAACAGCCACAUCAUCAUCUCUAUUAGGUAAAAUCAAAUAACUUACUACCUCAAAAACCACUUUCUCAUACAAGCUAGCUUGUUCUAGACAAGACUUGGCAGCUUCAAGAAGUGGCAUAGCACGCGAAGA
rnacentral:misc_RNA from 1 species